CGGGAAACCGGAGCUAAUACCGGAUAAUAUAUUGAACCGCAUGGUUCAAUAGUGAAAGACGGUUUUGCUGUCACUUAUAGAUGGAUCCGCGCCGCAUUAGCUAGUUGGUAAGGUAACGGCUUACCAAGGCAACGAUGCGUAGCCGACCUGAGAGGGUGAUCGGCCACACUGGAACUGAGACACGGUCCAGACUCCUACGGGAGGCAGCAGCC
rnacentral:rRNA from 1 species